rnacentral:rRNA from 1 species
CGAGUUUGAUCCCGGCUCAGAUUGAACGCUGGCGGCAUGCCUUACACAUGCAAGUCGAACGGUAACGGGCCUUCGGGUGCCGACGAGUGGCGAACGGGUGAGUAAUGUAUCGGAACGUACCUUUCAGUGGGGGAUAACGUAGCGAAAGUUACGCUAAUACCGCAUAUUCUAUGCGCAGGAAAGCAGGGGAUCGCAAGACCUUGCGCUGAUUGAGCGGCCGAUAUCAGAUUAGCUAGUUGGUGAGGUAAAGGCUCACCAAGGCGACGAUCUGUAGCGGGUCUGAGAGGAUGAUCCGCCACACUGGAACUGAGACACGGUCCAGACUCCUACGGGAGGCAGCAGUGGGGAAUUUUGGACAAUGGGGGCAACCCUGAUCCAGCCAUGCCGCGUGAGUGAAGAAGGCCUUCGGGUUGUAAAGCUCUUUCGGCCGGGAAGAAAUCGUAUGGGUUAAUACCCUGUGCGGAUGACGGUACCGGCAUAAGAAGCACCGGCUAACUACGUG